CGAGCGGAAGGCCCUUCGGGGUACUCGAGCGGCGGACGGCUGAGUAACGCGUGGGAACAUGCCCCAAAGUGAGGAAUAACUGCCCGAAAGGGUAGCUAAUGCCGCAUAUGAUCUUCGGAUUAAAGGAUUUAUCCGCUUUGGGAGUGGCCCGCGUACGAUUAGGUAGUUGGUGAGGUAAAGGCUCACCAAGCCCACGAUCGUUAACUGGUCUGAGAGGAUGAUCAGUCAGACUGGAACUGAGACACGGUCCAGACUCCUACGGGAGGCAGCAGUGAGGAAUCUUCCACAAUGGGCGAAAGCCUGAUGGAGCGACGCCGCGUGCAGGAUGAAGGCCUUCGGGUUGUAAACUGCUUUUAUAAGUGAAGAAUAUGACGGUAACUUAUGAAUAAGCACCGGCUAACUACGUGCCAGCAGCCGCGGUCAUACGUAGGGUGCAAGCAUUAUCCGGAGUGACUGGGCGUAAAGAGUUGCGUAGGUGGACAAGUAAGCGAAUAGUGAAAUGUGGCGGCUCAACCGUACACACUAUUAUUCGAACUGCUCGUCUCGAGAAUGGUAGAGGUAACUGGAAUUUCUAGUGUAGGAGUGAAAUCCGUAGAUAUUAGAAGGAACACCAAUGGCGUAGGCAGGUUACUGGACCAUUUCUGACACUAAGGCACGAAAGCGUGGGGAGCGAACCGGAUUAGAUACCCGGGUAGUCCACGCCGUANACUAUGGAUACUAGCUGUUGGANGUAUCGACCCCUUCAGUAGCGAAGCUAACGCGUUAAGUAUCCCGCCUGUGGAGUACGGUCGCAAGACUAAAACAUAAAGGAAUUGACGGGGACCCGCACAAGCGGUGGAGCGUGUUCUUUAAUU
rnacentral:rRNA from 1 species